GUCCCCUUAGCUCAAUUGGCAGAGCACGCGGCUUACAUCCGCGGGGUUAUAGGUUCAAGUCCUAUAGGGGGCA
rnacentral:tRNA from 1 species